GAUGAAGAACGUAGCGAAAUGCGAUAAGUAAUGUGAAUUGCAGAAUUCAGUGAAUCAUCGAAUCUUUGAACGCACAUUGCGCCCCUUGGUAUUCCGAGGGGCAUGCCUGUUCGAGCGUCAUUACACCACUCAAGCUAUGCUUGGUAUUGGGCGUCGUCCUUAGUUGGGCGCGCCUUAAAGACCUCGGCGAGGCCACUCCGGCUUUAGGCGUAGUAGAAUUUAUUCGAACGUCUGUCAAAGGAGAGGAACUCUGCCGACUGAAACCUUUAUUUUUCUAGGUUGACCUCGGAUCAGGUAGGGAUACCCGCUGAACUUAAGAAUAUCAAUAAGCGGAGGA
rnacentral:misc_RNA from 1 species